rnacentral:rRNA from 2 species
UAGGGAAUCUUCGGCAAUGGACGAAAGUCUGACCGAGCAACGCCGCGUGAGUGAAGAAGGUUUUCGGAUCGUAAAACUCUGUUGUUAGAGAAGAACAAGGACGUUAGUAACUGAACGUCCCCUGACGGUAACUAACCAGAAAGCCACGGCUAACUACGUGCCAGCAGCCGCGGUAAUACGUAGGUGGCAAGCGUUGUCCGGAUUUAUUGGGCGUAAAGCGAGCGCAGGCGGUUUCUUAAGUCUGAUGUGAAAGCCCCCGGCUCAACCGGGGAGGGUCAUUGGAAACUGGGAGACUUGAGUGCAGAAGAGGAGAGUGGAAUUCCAUGUGUAGCGGUGAAAUGCGUAGAUAUAUGGAGGAACACCAGUGGCGAAGGCGGCUCUCUGGUCUGUAACUGACGCUGAGGCUCGAAAGCGUGGGGAGCAAACAGG